CAUAGGUUUUUCACCCUAUCCUCCCCUUUCCUCCCCUUCCCUUCGUCAACACAGCAGCCACACCUCCUCUCCCGUGCUUGCCGCCGCCACAGCCUCGCUGUGCCCGCCACUAGAUCUGCGCCCUCGAGGGUGACGGGAGCUGAAGACGAUGAGCAACGGCGCGUGGGGUUCGUGUAGGUCCUCGGCUCGUCCGUACCUCACCAGUCCGCCGAGCAAGCAAGGCCGCGGGAGACGAGCGCACGAAGGUCAGCGGCAAGUGCUCCAGAGAGGAGAGAAGGCGGCACUCUAGGUGGCGGCGGUGGGCUAGCAAAAUCAAGUGGUGGCUGAGGUACACGAGAGCGAGGUGGUGCUGGAACGCAUGGGGGAGGUGGUGCUGGAACGCAUGGGGGCCAGCAGCAAGUCGCCGCAAGUGCACAACCACUCCGACGAGGUGGUGGUGGCCUACUUGCCCAUGUGGGAGGUGGAGGAGGCCAACGACUAGGAGAAGGAGCAUGGAUCAUAAUCGAUGUUAUGGAUAAAACUGCUAACAAAUUGUUGCAUCAUCAUGGACAAGGUGUCAAUACUACUAGGUAGGCAUAGUGAGUAUUCCACUUAUUAUGUCCACCUUGACACGUUUCAUGGAUUGUAUGAAUUAUUUUAAAUAUGUAAACCUACUUUGGUGUAUGUCAGUUUUAGGAUGGCAACUCGCCUUUUUUUUCAUGCCUUCUUAACAGUUUUGGUUCUCAUGGGGUUUGAGAUGUGUAGAUCGAGUUCAACGGAUCAGUUGCAGGUGAGUAUGUAGUAUCCUUAUCUAUUUCAUAUGCUUGACUCCACUUUCAUUUUCCUAUGAUGUAUACAUUGGGCUCAGGGCUUUGGCCUGUUCCAUCCGAGGUGUAUCAUGCUUUAUCUGAAACUCAAGUAUACAUUUGGUGUUGUUGGGGCUUCUUUGAUUGAGAUGCGAAAGAGGGCAUAUGUGAUUUUUUUAGGCCAUCUGUCCAGGUAGUGACAUUCUAAUAUGCAAGGAAUGUGUUUAUUUGAUUUUUUUAUUCUGACAUACACUAAAGUAAUCAUGACCAUCGGUAAAAGGAAGACAGUCAAAACAUGAUUAUAUUUUGUCUUGGUAUACCUCAUUUAGUUGUCAUUUGUAUAUUUCAAGGAAAUUAUUCAAUUCUUAGUUAUCUUUCCAUUGCUAUUUUCCCUACUAUGCUUAUCGGAUGGGUAGAUAAUCUUAUAAGGGGAUGCAAUGGAUUUUUGUAUUUUGGAUUCUCUGGACUGAAUAGGUUAUAUUUUUAACCCAUAAAAAUUAAUUUGACUCCAAUAUGAUCAACUGUGACUCGGAAUAUUUUUCCCAAUAGUAUCGGACAAUAUUGUAGGCACCCACCCUCCAAAGUAUACAUUUGCAUUAUCUUAUUUGAUUAUUGGACUAACUAUCAACAAUCAUGUAUAUAGACUUCCCGGAGAAAUAAACCAAGAUGGGCAUUAUCUGGUACAGCACAAGGAACCUGCCCUCCUGCUUAGGUUCUGUAGCCAUGGCCCUCGAGUUAGCGGAGAAUGGUUAUGAUGAAGACUCUGAUUCCAGUUCUCAGAUCCUAUGUGCCUGCUUUAUAAUUCGGCUGCUGUGAGACAGGCCUUGUCGCCACCUCACUUGUCAUCGCAAUCGUCCCUACCUCACUUCCCUCUGCCCUCGAGGCAAGGUCCCUCGAUUGCAUGCAUUCU